rnacentral:lncRNA from 1 species
CUGAGGCCUGGGCUUGGAGACUCACCGCAGUAGCACAGCCUGUUGGUGACUGGUUGGGUACUGUGCCCCAAGCAUCUUCUGGGGUCAACACCAGGCUCCAGGGUGCCAGCGAGAGCUAUUUGACGCAGAUGUCGGAGUGGAAUUUUGCAGUACGAACCCUGACUCUGCCUGGCCACGCGGUGUGGCCAGUGCUUCUGUACACAGCAGCACCUUGUCUGCAGGGAAGGAGGCAAAAUUGCACGUCCCCUCCUGGCGAAGGCCACUUGAGGCAGGGCCGGCGCUCACUGAGCCUCAGAAAAGGCAGUCCCCGUUGUUGAUGAGGAUGGUUGGACCCUGCUGUGGCUUGGGUUGUGGUGUCCUCAAAAAUACUGAAGUCCAGCCCCAGGUACUGUGACCUUAUUUGGAACGAGGGGCCACUGUAGAUGUAAUGAAGUUAAAUGAGGUCACCUGGGAUUUAGGGUGGGCCCUAACCAGUGACUGGUGUCAUUAUGGGAAGAGGAGAGGAGACGCACAGACGCCAGGAGGUGACAGCUGAGGCCGAGGCUGGAGGGAAAGGCCACAAGCCGAGGGAGGUGAAGGCUGACCGGCGACGCUGGGAUCUGUGAGAUGCCGGGAAGGACCCGGAGCGUGGUCCUGCCAGCACCUUGAUUUCGGACUCUGGCCUCCAGGACCGUGUGAAAAUAAAUGUCUGCCAUUGAGGGCACCCCAUUGGUGGGGCUUCCUCCAGCAGCUGUGAGAGACACUCACAGACCCUACCAGGAGACGGCUGCGCCUCUGUGCGUUUUUGCCAAGGUGGCCGUUUGAGGAGAGAUGAACUUGGGAGUGGUUCCUCAGGAGCUACACGGCAUUCUGUUUCUCCCCCCUGGGGGUUGGUCAUUUUAUGAGAGAAUUGGAGGAAAAAAAAUCCCUUCCGACGCUCUAAGCCCGGGCCAGAGUGCCUGGAGCUCAAUGGAGCGGGCAUAAUUUGUUUGCUUUGCAAUUCUCUCCCCUCAGUGGAGACAAAUUGAUUUCUACGUGGAAAUGGGCCGUGGCUGGGAGGCGGCGGGCUUGUGAGAGGGCAAGGUUUGCCGGGUUUCAGGAAGGGCUGGUCCGGGCCGGCAGGCCACGGCCCACCCACUGCUGGUGAGAAUGUGCCCAGGUGAGCCCCUCCGGGACCCAGAACCCUAAAACUGCUCAGAGAGUUUGCUGUGGAGCCGCGCUGUGCCGAGCCUCUCCCGGUGCUGUCCCAAGCCUCUCCCCACGAGUCUGUGGGUGCAGCUGCUGGCCAUGUGUUUACGGAACAUCUCCCUCAAACAGAGGGACCCUGGUGGCGCCAACAGAGGCAGGGAAAACAUGGGAACGGCGGGCCUGCCCUGGGCUGUGGCCUCCUGAGACAUCAGACGCUGAGGGAAGUGUUGAAAGGCUGUAUGAUGACAGCCGCCAUACAGGAAGGCCAGGGCAUUGUUUAGCAAAUAACAAUUAAAAAUUUAUACUAUUACUAUUAUGAUGUCACCCAGAGUGCAGUGCACUGGCGCGAUCUCCGCUCACUGCAACCUCCACCUCCCAGGCUCAACCAGUUCUCCCGCCUCAGCCUCCCGAGUAGCUGGGACCAUAGGUGCACGCUGCCACACCCGACUUUUUACAAUUUUUGUAGAGAUGGGGUCUCCCUAGGUUGCCCAGGCUGGUCUCGAACUUCGGGGCUCAGGUGAUCCUCUCACCUUGGCUUCCCAAAUUGCCAUAAUUAUAGGUGGAGCCACUGUGCCCAGCCUAAAUAAUUAUUUUUUUUAAAAAGCCCAACUACUUAAUAUUCCACAAGAGGAGACAACAAUCCCAGCUGCUAUACCGAAGAAUGAAGCUGAUGUCUGGGAAAUUCUCGCGUCCACCAGGCGGGGGGGUCUUCCUGGGUCUCAUCUGGCCUCACCUCUGCACCAUCCCCAAUUGGUGAGUCCCAGUCACUCCCCGCAAGGGGGCCUCUAGGAUGCCAUGAGAUGCAGCCGUGAGCAGGUGUGCAUGGGAAGAAGGUUCGUGCUGGAGAAGUGCCUUUUCAUGGGAUCUGUGGCAGCAAAGUGCAGUGCCAAUGACUCACGGCAAACACCCGCCAGGAGAGGUGCUCAGGAGAGCCACCCUAGAGGGCUGCUGGCACGAGGCGCUCAGGAGAGCCACCCUAGAGGGCUGCUGGCACGAGGCGCUCAGGAGAGCCACCCCAGAGGGCUGCUGGCACUUGUCCCUGGGCUGUCAUGACAUGGGCAGUGUUCAUUUCGUUUCUCUAAAUGUUUAGUCUUUUUCAAAUUUUCUGUGGUGAGCAUUGGUUAUAGUUUGAAUCUGGA